UAGAGCGUUGUUACGUGAUAAUUUAGUUCAUGAGAAAGUAGUGUUGAAUUCCCUCUUAAUAUGUUUUCAAUUCAUAAUCUAAUCUUAAUUUGUCUUCAAUUUCUUCUAGAAAUAAGAAUUUCAAUUUCAAUUUUAUUUUGAGAAUUCAUAUACUUACCUUUCUUUUACAGAUUCCUGAAGCUCAUGAUAAGCCUUCCUCUUUAGAUAUAGAUAUAUCUUCAUCUAAUGCACUUAGAUGCUUUAAUGUUUUAUGAACAAUUUGUAUGUGCAGAGUAAUGAACUCGAUCAUUGGCAUCAAUGGCAUUCAAACACAUCUAUCUAAUGAAUGACUGAAAGCAUGGAUAUGAUAUGCUUUUUCUUUGUUAUUUCAAUGUAGUGAUAAGCUAGGUUUAAGCGUUGAAUUGGGUUCCUUUAAUUAUAUCAUCUACUGAUCUCAUAGGACAUCGUAAGAUCAUCUUCUAGGACAUCGUAUGACCCUAACGGAUGCAUCUUUGAAUCAAUGCUUCAUAUUUUUCUACUGGAUAGCCGAGUGGGUUUCUUUAUCUUAAGAAUUUUUUUUUUACAAUUUCUUUUGGAUUCUCUUUUUUAGUUUGUUUUGUUCGAUAAUUUUCCUCUUAGUUUGGCUGACUAUUUUUCUUUGGGUUUUUAUUUGUGGAUUAUUGUUGCCUCUUUAGCUAUCGAGGCCACCAUUUUUGAGGAACUAGUUGAAACUGUAAACCUCAACAUAAUGAAGGUGAAGAUGAGCCGGAAACAGUGAAGUAGGAAAAUCUAGACUCUGUAACAUGCUCAUAGUCUAUCUAAAUAUUUCGAAUAAUGAGCAUUUUAUCUUUUGAUCA